AAAGGUGAAAAGCACCCCGGAAGGGGAGUGAAAGAGAUCCUGAAACCGUGUGCCUACAAAUAGUCAGAGCCCGUUAACGGGUGAUGGCGUGCCUUUUGUAGAAUGAACCGGCGAGUUACGAUCCCGUGCGAGGUUAAGCUGAAGAGGCGGAGCCGCAGCGAAAGCGAGUCUGAAUAGGGCGUUUAGUACGUGGUCGUAGACCCGAAACCAGGUGAUCUACCCAUGUCCAGGGUGAAGUUCAGGUAACACUGAAUGGAGGCCCGAACCCACGCACGUUGAAAAGUGCGGGGAUGAGGUGUGGGUAGCGGAGAAAUUCCAAUCGAACCUGGAGAUAGCUGGUUCUCCCCGAAAUAGCUUUAGGGCUAGCCUUAAGUGUAAGAGUCUUGGAGGUAGAGCACUGAUUGGACUAGGGGUCCUCAUCGGAUUACCGAAUUCAGUCAAACUCCGAAUGCCAAUGACUUAUCCUUAGGAGUCAGACUGCGAGUGAUAAGAUCCGUAGUCAAAAGGGAAACAGCCCAGACCGCCAGCUAAGGUCCCAAAGUGUGUAUUAAGUGGAAAAGGAUGUGGAGUUGCUUAGACAACUAGGAUGUUGGCUUAGAAGCAGCCACCAUUUAAAGAGUGCGUAAUAGCUCACUAGUCGAGUGACUCUGCGCCGAAAAUGUACCGGGGCUAAAUACACCACCGAAGCUGCGGAUUGAUACCAAUGGUAUCAGUGGUAGGGGAGCGUUCUAAGGACAGUGAAGUCAGACCGGAAGGACUGGUGGAGUGCUUAGAAGUGAGAAUGCCGGUAUGAGUAGCGAAAGACGGGUGAGAAUCCCGUCCACCGAAUGCCUAAGGUUUCCUGAGGAAGGCUCGUCCGCUCAGGGUUAGUCAGGACCUAAGCCGAGGCCGACAGGCGUAGGCGAUGGACAACAGGUUGAUAUUCCUGUACCACCUCUUUAUCGUUUGAGCAAUGGAGGGACGCAGAAGGAUAGAAGAAGCGUGCGAUUGGUUGUGCACGUCCAAGCAGUUAGGCUGAUAAGUAGGCAAAUCCGCUUAUCGCGUAUGCUGAGCUGUGAUGGGGAAGCUCCUUAUGGAGCGAAGUCUUUGAUUCCCCGCUGCCAAGAAAAGCUUCUAGCGAGAUAAAAGGUGCCUGUACCGCAAACCGACACAGGUAGGCGAGGAGAGAAUCCUAAGGUGUGCGAGAGAACUCUGGUUAAGGAACUCGGCAAAAUGACCCCGUAACUUCGGGAGAAGGGGUGCUUUCUUAACGGAAAGCCGCAGUGAAUAGGCCCAAGCGACUGUUUAGCAAAAACACAGCUCUCUGCGAAGCCGUAAGGCGAAGUAUAGGGGGUGACACCUGCCCGGUGCUGGAAGGUUAAGGAGAGGGGUUAGCGUAAGCGAAGCUCUGAACUGAAGCCCCAGUAAACGGCGGCCGUAACUAUAAAGGUCCUAAGGUAGCGAAAUUCCUUGUCCGGUAAGUUCCGACCCGCACGAAAGGUGUAACGAUUUGGGCACUGUCUCAACCAGAGACUCGGUGAAAUUAUAGUACCUGUGAAGAUGCAGGUUACCCGCGACAGGACGGAAAGACCCCGUGGAGCUUUACUGUAGCCUGAUAUUGAAUUUUGGUACAGUUUGUACAGGAUAGGCGGGGGCCAUUGAAACCGGAGCGCUAGCUUCGGUGGAGGCGCUGGUGGGAUACCGCCCUGACUGUAUUGAAAUUCUAACCUACGGGUCUUAUCGACCCGGGAGACAGUGUCAGGUGGGCAGUUUGACUGGGGCGGUCGCCUCCUAAAGUGUAACGGAGGCGCCCAAAGGUUCCCUCAGAAUGGUUGGAAAUCAUUCGUAGAGUGCAAAGGCAUAAGGGAGCUUGACUGCGAGACCUACAAGUCGAGCAGGGACGAAAGUCGGGCUUAGUGAUCCGGUGGUUCCGCAUGGAAGGGCCAUCGCUCAACGGAUAAAAGCUACCCCGGGGAUAACAGGCUUAUCUCCCCCAAGAGUCCACAUCGACGGGGAGGUUUGGCACCUCGAUGUCGGCUCAUCGCAUCCUGGGGCUGUAGUCGGUCCCAAGGGUUGGGCUGUUCGCCCAUUAAAGCGGUACGCGAGCUGGGUUCAGAACGUCGUGAGACAGUUCGGUCCCUAUCCGUCGUGGGCGUAGGAAAUUUGAGAGGAGCUGUCCUUAGUACGAGAGGACCGGGAUGGACGCACCGCUGGUGUACCAGUUGUUCUGCCAAGGGCAUAGCUGGGUAGCUAUGUGCGGAAGGGAUAAGUGCUGAAAGCAUCUAAGCAUGAAGCCCCCCUCAAGAUGAGAUUUCCCAUAGCGUAAGCUAGU
rnacentral:rRNA from 1 species